UAGGAGUCUGUAUUUUCAUCAGCUG
rnacentral:miRNA from 1 species